GGAUUGUGGGUCAGUGGCAGAGCACUUGCCUUGCAUGUGUGAGGCACUGGGUUCAAUCCUCAGCACCA
rnacentral:tRNA from 1 species